AAAAUAAAAAUAUAGAGAUUCUAGGCGUUUCUAAUGAGGAUGAACAAGUGUGCUGUAACAGAGCUGGAAGGUUCUCAAGUUUCACACCAACCUCAACUGCAUGCAUUCAUCUUAUCCAUUUUUUGUAACGCUUUAUUUGGCACUUUUGUACGUUGUCCAAUUCAAUCCUAACGCGCUUUAUUCAUUGUGAAAUAACACCACACACGUUUGUUCAAAUUAUGUGGGAGAGAAAAUGGGAGUUUUAUGAGGG
rnacentral:lncRNA from 1 species